CCUACGGGAGGCGGCAGUCGAGAAUCAUUCACAAUGGGGGAAACCCUGAUGGUGCGACGCCGCGUGGGGGAAUGAAGGUCUUCGGAUUGUAAACCCCUGUCAUGUGGGAGCAAAUUAAAAAGAUAGUACCACAAGAGGAAGAGACGGCUAACUCUGUGCCAGCAGCCGCGGUAAUACAGAGGUCUCAAGCGGUGUUCGGAAUCACUGGGCGUAAAGGGUGCGUAGGCUGUUUCGUAAGUCGUGUGUGAAAGGCGCGGGCUCAACCCGCGGACGGCACAUGAUACUGCGAGACUAGAGUAAUGGAGGGGGAACCGGAAUGCUCGGUGUAGCAGUGAAAUGCGUAGAUAUCGAGAGGAACACUCGUGGCGAAGGCGGGUUCCUGGACAUUAACUGACGCUGAGGCACGAAGGCCAGGGGAGCGAAAGGGAUUAGAUACCCGGGUAGUC
rnacentral:rRNA from 1 species